rnacentral:misc_RNA from 1 species
AAACAUUGGUACUCAAAAAAAUUUACACAGUCACCUGUCGCCGGCAACAUAAAAUAAUGUUUCGAAACCAGUAUGACAAUGAUGUCACAGUUUGGAGCCCUCAGGGCCGCAUUCAUCAGAUUGAGUAUGCCAUGGAGGCUGUCAAACAAGGAUCUGCUACAGUGGGCCUCAAGUCCAAAUCUCACGCUAUCCUGGUGGCCUUAAAGAGAGCAUCUUCAGAGUUAGCUGCACAUCAGAAAAAGAUUAUUCCAAUCGAUGACCAUAUUGGUGUCUCCAUAGCGGGUCUAACAGCUGAUGCCAGGCUCCUCAGUAACUUCAUGAGAUCAGAGUGCUUGAACUCCAGAUAUGCUUACGAUUCUCCUCUGCCAGUUUCUAGACUUGUGUCAGCAGUUGGAAACAAAUCACAAAUUCCCACACAGAGGUACGGCCGACGGCCAUUCGGAGUAGGCUUGUUGGUUGCUGGAUAUGAUGAUCAAGGACCCCACAUUUACCAGACCUGUCCCUCUGCCAACUACUACGACUGUAAGGCGAUGGCCAUUGGCGCCCGGUCACAGUCGGCAAGGACGUACGUGGAGAAACACCUGGACAAAUUCUUAGAGUGUUCAUUAGAUGAGUUGAUAAAACAUGGACUGAGAGCUCUCAGGGAAACUCUGCCACAAGAAGUGGAACUCACAACAAAGAACUGUUCUCUAGGAAUUGUUGGAAAAGAUAUGGAAUUCACCAUUUAUGACGAUGACGAUGUUCAAAAAUAUGUAUCCUUUUCAAUAUAUGUAAUGAAUAUGAAAUUUACCUGAUGAUUAAUGAAGUAAUAGCUUCUGUACUUGAUCAUUAACUUAGUAGGCUUGUUGAAAUAAAUUUCAAAUUGAGAAAUCACGAAAUGUGUGUCCAUUUUCCUUGACCGAGUGUAGUUGGCGAUGAUUGAGGGAGAAGAAAGGUCAAGGGCAGCCCCUCCAGCUGAUCAGGCUGCUAUGGACACUCAAGAAGGGGAGGGACAACAACCCGCCGACCCCCAGCCCGCAGACCCUGCAGUAGAGGAACAGGGCAUGGAGCACUGACCAUGACAUGCUUCAUCAUCAUUCUGUGACAUCUCACUUCCAAAAACUCAACUUAAUGAAAAAAGUGCUAUCACCGUGUCUCGUAUUUUCUUAAUUUGCAAAUGAUUGUAAAAGACUUUGUACAUCUUUACAUAAACUUGUGCUGAACCACAGUUUUGUGAAAUAAAUUAGUAAUGUAUGAAAAAG